rnacentral:rRNA from 1 species
UGGGGAAUCUUGGACAAUGGGGGCAACCCUGAUCCAGCCAUGCCGCGUGUGUGAAGAAGGCCUUCGGGUUGUAAAGCACUUUCAGUAGGGAGGAAGGCUUACCGCUAAUAACGGUGAGUACUUGACGUUACCUACAGAAGAAGCACCGGCUAAUUUCGUGCCAGCAGCCGCGGUAAUACGAAAGGUGCGAGCGUUAAUCGGAAUUACUGGGCGUAAAGCGCGCGUAGGCGGUUUGUUAAGUCAGAUGUGAAAGCCCCGGGCUCAACCUGGGAAUUGCAUUUGAAACUGGCAGGCUAGAGUGCAGUAGAGGGAGGUGGAAUUUCCGGUGUAGCGGUGAAAUGCGUAGAGAUCGGAAGGAACACCAGUGGCGAAGGCGGCCUCCUGGACUGACACUGACGCUGAGGUGCGAAAGCGUGGGGAGCAAACAGGAUUAGAUACCCCGGUA